GAAUCAUUCGCUGCACUGAAGAUAAAAAUUACGACCAAAAUGUGUCGAUCCGACACAUUGGAUGUGUACACCGUAUUGUUUUGAAAUCGAUGUGUCGAUUCUACACAUUGCGCUGGUUUUUGCUCGAAAAUCCAUCCAAUGUGUAAACUGUCCUUUUGCCUGAUUCAUCAAAGUUGCCGUUGGGUGUCGCCACUAGUCUGGGACUUAGAAACAAACAUGAGCGAAAAAAAAACAUGCGGUUUGUUUGCUAGUGGAAUAUUUGUGAUUUUAUUUCAAUUAUUUCGUGUAAAACUGGCACACAAAUGUGAAAAUGGAGGCUCGAUAAAAUUUGUCUUCCGGACUGGAAAUACGACUUGUGGCCACUGACACGAAGAACCAUCCUGUGCUGACGCUGGUAAAGAAGCAAAUCGUUCCCGUGCACAAACUGCCCAUUUCGCACCGUCGCUCUUCGUCCAACUCGGAUAGCUCCAGAAGAGCGGUUCUGAUUUAUCCGACUCGGGCACGAAUUCCAGCUUAAGCAGUUCGUCACGGACUCGUCCUCGCGGCGGCGACGAAAAAAAGGCGACACGGUCCGAGUUCGAGUUCCAGCUCGGAUGACGCAGGUGGCGAAGAAAGAUCAAGCUGAUAAAGAAGCAUGUGAAGAAGGCGUCGGUGGAUGGAAUGAAGCGGAUCGUGACGAAGAAGGUUGCGAGGGGCACGUAACGUAGAUCCGGGUGAGCAGGUCCAGUCCGCGGGAGACGAGCCACCUGGGGAAUGUGCGGGAUGUGUCGCCUGGGGGGAAAGUUGGCACCGUGAAGUAGGUGACCGCGGUGGAGAAGGACAUGCUAGCAGCUGUGGUUGAUGCGGGAGCGGGUUCGCUAGAAGGAACGGGAAGCGCGAGUUGGCGAUUAAGGAGAAGAAUUCGUCGCGGAAGAAUCGCUCGCCGAAGUCGCGAUGUCACCACGGGGAUCUUCCCGAGGUCGAGAAUUGCUCAAGAUAAAAUCGCCGGAACCGGUUGCUCGCUGUCGUAAUGCUCCGGCCACCGUUGUUUGAAGAACGGAGCGUUCUCCGGAUCUUCGGCUGGACGAUCUUCGUGGACAGGAGGAAGCGUUGACCCGGUGUCGAGAGAGACGGCGCGAACAGGACCGGUUGAAGAGUGCUGGGAAGGAUCGUGAACGUGCAGUUCCACCACCGGCACCGAGCUCCUUACUUACUGGAUCUGUAAGUCAAGGUCGCGACCUGGAUGAAGGUUUGGACUAACCUGAUCAACAUCGGGAUGUGGCGUCCGCCGCCUCGCGGCAUCAUCGUAGAGUCGAAAUGAAGAGAGAACUGCCAGCAUUACGUGGACAGCCUGGGCUGUCAUAACGAACAGCUGGACGAGUGGAAGAAGCGGUUCGAGUAGCGGAAGAAGAAAAAGUGUAGCAGCUGCUGGAACGAUGGGGGCAAGCGCUAAUCCCGAAUAAGUCAGAGGACUUGUGGUCUCAGCGUAUGAAUCGAUGACGAUGCAUCGGGGACGAGGCCUCUUCGAUAACGGCAGCUUGGCGUCCCGGAGUCGGAGGGCGAGGCGUGGCGAGAAGCGGAACCGAAGAAAGGUUAACGCAUCCGAAUCGACGGAAGUACCAGAAGAUUCAGAGCAUGGAAAGUGGGCGAUGAAAGCUGCCGUGCGGCUACCAACGACAUCAUCAAGCUGGGUUUCCCCGCUCGCUGCCAAUCACGCUAAGGGUCAACUAAUUGGAUGGACAUGGUUAGUUCUGCUCAAAUUGGUUUGGGGAAAGUCUGCUGCUGGUGCUGGUUCCGACGCGUGAACUCGCCAAGAAUUUCCCGAUGGUAGUACGUGACUUGGACAUGCACAACUCGUGCAACUUUGGCGGCGAGUUGAAGGGACCGCUGGUUCGUGACUUGGAACGCGGCGUUGAGGUGCACAAUCCUGUGCUGCUGCACGUACUCGUCGAAGCCGAUCCGCAAGAUAAGCCUGUAGGCGAUGCACAAUAUUCUUCAAAUCGUGUCUAGCAGCAAGCUGCUUUCUUUGCUGAAGAUCGGUUGCUGAAGACGGGUUCAGAGUUACGUCACACCCGGCCCACGGCUCGCGCCCGGAUCGCAACUUUGCCUGGAAGAAAGUGUCCAACUGACCAACAAACGGGAGGUUAACCACGAGCGCGAGUCUUCCUUUUCGUCAACAAACACCAAGCACAGCGACGAUAUCAGUGACAAACUGUUAUGUAUUAUAAAUUUAAAAUUAUAUUUAAUUCUUUGUUUGAAUAAAAUACAAAAAUCCAGUCUAAUUUAAAUCAUCUAAAUGAAAAUAAAAGCAAAAAAAAAUAGUCCAUUCUCCAACAGGUGGCAGCACAGUAUUCCCGCUAUUCAUGAGCUUCCGAUUUUUGCCACCAGGCGGCUACCGCUUAAUCAAAAGUUACACAUUGGAUGCGUUUUUGGCCAGAAUCCAGCCAAUGUGUUCCGGGCUGUUUACUCGGUGCGAUGGUUCAAGCGUGGUCUUGUGCGAAAAUGGUUGGAUUUAACGCUUUUUGGUGUAAUUCUGAUCU